GGAAAAGAAGCCAAAUGCUUCAAUGUCUAAAGAUUUCCUGACUUACUGCUUUUGAAUGAUGAUGGCAUUUGAGGCCAGCAGAAACUGUAGAUGAAGAGGAAAAUGCAGAAGAGGAAGAUGACAGGGAAGAGGAGGAGGCAUAUAAACUAAAGGAAGAAUAUCCAGAAAUGAAUGGAGAGGAAAGCAGGGAAAUUGUUAAAAAAAGAAAUAAAGUGGAAGAAAAUGAGAAGAAAUUAAAUGGGAAUUAUAAACACAAUGCAGAAGAAACAGAGAAUGUUGACCAACCAGAGGAAGAGGAACUCACCCAUUUAAAUUCCAAGAUAAAUGAGGAAAAUAGUGAGGGAAUUGAGCAGUUGAACAGCCAAGGUAAUUUGCAGUCUAAAGAGGACAUAAAAGAAAAGGAGUAUUUUGACAGUCAGAAACAGGUUGAUUCCCAUAUCGAGAAAACAUCCACAAAUCCAAGGGUGACAAUCACCAGCCCACAGGAAAAUGGAAAAAAAGGACCAGAAC
rnacentral:lncRNA from 1 species